rnacentral:rRNA from 1 species
CGAACGCUGGCGGCGUGCUUAACACAUGCACAUCGAACGGAAAGGUCCUGCUUUUGUGGGGUGCUCGAGUGGCGAACGGGUGAGUAACACGUGAGUAACCUGCCCUUGACUUUGGGAUAACUUCAGGAAACUGGGGCUAAUACCGGAUAGGAGCUCCUGCUGCAUGGUGGGGGUUGGAAAGUUUCGGCGGUUGGGGAUGGACUCGCGGCUUAUCAGCUUGUUGGUGGGGUAGUGGCUUACCAAGGCUUUGACGGGUAGCCGGCCUGAGAGGGUGACCGGCCACAUUGGGACUGAGAUACGGCCCAGACUCCUACGGGAGGCAGCAGUGGGGAAUAUUGCACAAUGGGCGGAAGCCUGAUGCAGCAACGCCGCGUGCGGGAUGACGGCCUUCGGGUUGUAAACCGCUUUCGCCUGUGACGAAGCGUGAGUGACGGUAAUGGGUAAAGAAGCACCGGCUAACUACGUG